UACGGAGGGGGCAAGCGUUGUUCGGAUUUACUGGGCGUAAAGGGCGCGUAGGCGGCUUUGUAAGUUACUUGUGAAAUCUCCGGGCUUAACUCGGAGCGGCCAAGUGAUACUGCAGAGCUAGAGUGCAGAAGGGGCAACUGGAAUUCUUGGUGUAGCGGUGAAAUGCGUAGAGAUCAAGAGGAACACCUGAGGCGAAGGCGGGUUGCUGGGCUGACACUGACGCUGAAGCGAGAAAGCUAGGGGAGCAAACAGG
rnacentral:rRNA from 1 species